CACAUUCGGGUCAAGCGGCUUUUGGUAUAUAAACACACAACCCGACCAUUUUCAUUCCCUAUUCUUCAUAUUCUCACAAGGCGAUUAGGGUUUCUACAGUUUCAAUGUUACAUCUCCCUCUCAUUGCAUCCCUAAAGAUCGUAUGUCUUCAUCACGGGAGAUGAUUCAGGAAAGUAACAAGGCACUGAAGGAGCUAUAAAGAGAAAUGUAUUUUGACAGGGGGAACUUCUAUGACUUUACCUCGCUUGUCAUUCUCAUCUACGGUUUGUUCAUCUUCGACCGAUUCUCUUUUCGUAUUCUACUAAUCAAAUGUCGUCAUCUACAAGGUAUGAAUCCCUUCUUUAUGUAUUGUUAUGAUUUAGUGUUGAUAUUAGAUAUAAUUUUUUUGGAUUAUGUGGAUUCUUGACUGAACCAAAUGUGAAGAAGAAAAAGAUUGUAAAUGAGCUUUGAGGUCAUAUCAAAAAUCAAACAAUGAAAUUAUUGUUAAAUGUCUGAUUUAGUUACAAUGUUUCUGCUAUAAUUUUUGUAGUGGUGUUCAACAGUGGGAUGCCAAAAGUGUGAAAUCAGAUUAUUGAUGGUGAAGAACCAAUUUGAUUUGAAGACCUUGGACUUUGACAGAUCUCUAAAGUUUUGCAAUGCAUUUGAGGAGAAGACCUACAUAGGAUGAAUGCGAUAGUGGAGUUGAAGAAGACAUGGAAGCCCUAAAAACGGCCUUUUCUGUGACGGGCAAAUCCCCAGCCGCCAUUUAAAGGCGCUUCUCUCACUAGAACGAUCGAGUUAAAGGACAGGAUGAACUUUUUCUGUAAAGAGUUUAAGGACAUGAGGAAGCUUAGUUCCAACGAUGAGACCUUUCAUCUUUCAUGGAUGCAGAUUCGUAAAAUUAUAGAUAUAAUUUUCUCACGCAAGACACCUACUCCUGACAUAUAUGUGCAGUGGGGUGAGUAUGCCAUAUCAUUCUAUCUUAAAAUGUGUACCUGCUUCAGAGUUGAUUAUCAGCAUUUAGAGGCUACUGACUGUGAUAACAAACUACUUUUACCCGAGACGUCAUUGAAGGAACAGGAAGAGCAUACGGAGUGUAGUGGCGUGAACCAACCCUCUACAAAAGAGGUGUCAUAUGAGGAGCGUUUAGAACAGGAAGAUCAUACAGAGUGUAGUUGCGUGAACCAACUCCUUACAACAAAUAUGUCAUAUGAGGAGCGCUUAUAUCAGUUGUGAAUUAUGAGUUCCGUUGUGAAAUCAGAGGAGGAAUGGAGUGCAGUUCUUUCUCCUGAACAAUUUCGCAUCCUUCGAAACAAAGGAACUGAGCGUAUGAGUCUAAGUGAGCUAAAGUUGCUCUUAUGAGAAGAUGGGCCAGAAGCGUACAACUGUGUGCUGAACGGAACUGGUCUGAAGCCUUGAAUCCUGGAAGGCGUAUAUAAAGAGUCAUCGUCUGAAUAUAAGAGUUUUUGAUAUAAGCGCUCUUGAAUAAAACGAGUAAUGACAAUGUGAUAUCAAAUAAGAGAAUGUGUUUGUUGCUUUUUGGAAUUGGCUUUAUCUUGCUAACUUUGCAUCCUUUGAACCAACAUGACAACAUACAUCCCUCAUGAUCCAUCUGAUUUUUUUUUUUGGCUUUGAUACCAAAGGAAUGAGAUGCAAUUAUCUUGCACAUGAGCUUGAGGUGGGUUUGGUCGGGUUCAUUGUACUUGAUCAUCGUUGGGAUAAGGAUCUACCAGAGGACCCAACUGAAAGCAUUGAUAGUAUUCGGGAAUUCAUUGAAGACAAUGUUGAGAUUUGUAAAUGGAUAAAUCCAAGGCUUAAAUGAGGCAUGAGAAUAUGUAUUUGGUAUAAAUUGCAUGCGUGACGAUGCCAGAACUGCAAGCUCUGAUACGUGUAUGGGAGCAAAGAACUCCACCACUCUAUCCUACCGGUGAUUACUUUGUAGCAAAGACUAUUUGUCAAUAAAUUACUUUUUGUAUGAUUUAGUUAUGUGUUAAUCAUAAAUAGCUUUACUAUGAUUUAUUUCAUUGAUUAUUGAUUACA